rnacentral:lncRNA from 1 species
AAAAUUUCUAACUUCUCUGGCUAAAAUUACUUAAUUUUAAAAAUUAAAGGAAUAAUUACCUAUAUACCCCUCAAAAUUUUAAAAAUAUCUCAUUUAUCCUUACAUUUUUUUUUUCUAAUAUACCAUUUUAUAUGUUUCUCUGUUAUUCCAAAAUAUCCAUGCAAUUAUCUCUUGUUAAGUUAAUUUAAGUUAAACGUGUGUUAAAUAUUUACCAGAGUUAAAAAAAAUAAAAUAUCUCUUUUGCCUCUAAAUUAAAUGCAAAUAAGAAAUAUUGAUGAUGGUAAAAGGGUAUAUUUGAAAAGACAAAAAAUUAAAAUAUUUUUUGUGCCGCUGACUUAAGGGCAAAUAAGAAAAGUCAGUGAUGAUAGAAUGAUAUAUUUGAAAGGAUAAAAUAGUAAUUUCAUAGAGAUAAUUGCUAACAGGUUGGAGCGUAAAAAGGUAUUUUAAUAUUAACUUUUCAAAAGAGGUAAAUUAGAAAGUUGAAAACUUUUCAGGGAUAUAUGCUUCUAUUAAAUUUAACAAGUAAAUAUAAUUUAGGGGCAAUUGCUUAUAUACCCGUGAAAAGUUCCCGAUAUUUUGAUUUACCCUUCUUAGAAGGCUAAUAUUAAAAAUAUUUUUUUUACGUUCCAACCUAUUUCAAAUAUACCCCUCGAGUUAAAAUCUAUAAAUAAACUCUGUUAUCUCUAUGAAAUUACUAUUUUACCCUUUCAAAUAUACCCUUCUACUAUCACCGACUUUUCUUAUUUGCUCUUAAGUUAGGAGCACAAAACAUAUUUUACUUUUUGGUCUUUCAAAUAUACCCUUCUACCAUUAUUAAUAUUUCUUAUCUGCCUUUAAGUUACGGGCAAAAGUGGCAAUUUAAUUUUUGUUUAACUAUGUUAGAUAUUUAACUCACGUUUAACCCAAGUUAACUUAACGGAUGGUAACUGUAGAAAUAUUUUGAAAUAACGGAGGAACAUAUGAAGAAUAUAUUAGAAAGAAAAAAAAAAGGAUAAAUAAAAUAUUUCUGAUGUUUUGAAGGGUAUAUAGACAAUUACUUCUAUAAUUUAAUUAAAUAAAAUAACACAAAUCAUAAGCAAUUAAAAGUUAAUGUA